rnacentral:rRNA from 1 species
GAUGAACGCUGGCGGCGUGCCUAAUACAUGCAAGUCGAGCGAACGGACGAGAAGCUUGCUUCUCUGAUGUUAGCGGUGGACGGGUGAGUAACACGUGGAUAACCUACCUAUAAGACUGGGAUAACUUCGGGAAACCGGAGCUAAUACCGGAUGAUAUUUUGAACCGCAUGGUUCAAAAGUGAAAGACGGUCUUGCUGUCACUUAUAGAUGGAUCCGCGCUGCAUUAGCUAGUUGGUAAGGUAACGGCUUACCAAGGCAACGAUGCAUAGCCGACCUGAGAGGGUGAUCGGCCACACUGGAACUGAGACACGGUCCAGACUCCUACGGGAGGCAGCAGUAGGGAAUCUUCCGCAAUGGGCGAAAGCCUGACGGAGCAACGCCGCGUGAGUGAUGAAGGUCUUCGGAUCGUAAAACUCUGUUAUUAGGGAAGAACAUAUGUGUAAGUAACUGUGCACAUCUUGACGGUACCUAAUCAGAAAGCCACGGCUAACUACGUG